rnacentral:rRNA from 1 species
CCUGGAAACAGAUGCUAAUACCGGAUAACAACAGAUGAUGCCUAUCAACUGUUUAAAAGAUGGUUCUGCUAUCACUCUUGGAUGGACCUGCGGUGCAUUAGCUAGUUGGUAGGGUAACGGCCUACCAAGGCGAUGAUGCAUAGCCGAGUUGAGAGACUGAUCGGCCACAUUGGGACUGAGACACGGCCCAGACUCCUACGGGAGGCAGCAGUC